AGUGAACGCUGGCGGCAGGCCUAACACAUGCAAGUCGAACGGCAGCACAGUAAGAGCUUGCUCUUACGGGUGGCGAGUGGCGGACGGGUGAGGAAGACAUCGGAAUCGACUUUGUGGGGGGGGAUAACGAAGGGAAACUUACGCUAACACGGCAUACGACCUACGGGGGAAAGCAGGGGAUCUUCGGACCUGGCGCACUUGAAGGAGGCGAUGUCGGAUUAGCUAGUUGGCGGGGUAAAGGCCCACCAAGGCGACGAUCCGUAGCUGGGCUGAGAGGUGGAUCAGCCACACUGGAACUGAGACACGGUCCAGACUCCUACGGGAGGCAGCAGUGGGGAAUAUUGGACAAUGGGCGCAAGCCUGAUCCAGCCAUACCGCGUGGGUGAAGAAGGCCUUCGGGUUGUAAAGCCCUUUUGUUGGGAAAGAAAAGCAGCAGGUUAAUACCCCGCUGUUCUGACGGUACCCAACGAGUAAGCACCGGCUAACUUCGUG
rnacentral:rRNA from 1 species